UAAAAAAUCAGUGUCAAUUGGAACAUGAACAUAGGGAGAGGAUAAUUCGUAUAGGUAUAGCAGGUGUUGAUGCAUCUAGAUCAUUCCAGACUGUUACAGCUGUGUAAAGCUGCCAGCUUUGGAACAUGUGGAAUAUUUCCAAGAAAAUCAACUGUUGGCUGGGCACUUUUCAUCUGCUAGUGUGGAAAACUGAAUCUCCAUCAAUGUUGACCCCAUGCUCAAAGCAUGUCUCAUAUAGCUGCUUCCGGCCAACUGUCAAGGAGCAUUCAAUGGCAGCCAAAGCGAGAUCAGGAGGACAUUCGCCAUUGGUGCUCUCCAUUGUUGGCUGCAGUGCUGGUAUCUCCACAUUCGUGACAGCAAACCCCAUGUUCUUAAAUGCUUCAAUCUCAUCGGCAGAGAAAUUGGGGAUUUCGGCAUAAAGCUGGAAAUCACUUUCAUCCGCUGAAACAGUGCUAUUCAACCUUACGGUGAAAAACUCUCUCAGUUUCCGAAUAUGCAGUGGAAGCAGCAACUGAGGGAGUUGAAUGAGGGAGGGCUGGUGUACAUUCUCCAGCCAUGUCACAAUUUGCAGGGAAUGAUAUGUAGGAAGAGGUCAUUGCUUCAGGGUUUCCCUUUGCACUAUCUCCUGAUAUUUAGAAAAAAUUAAUUAAACAGUACUAAUCAAACUUUCCAUUAGCUAUGUCCAUAUAUGAUAGAAAUCAUUAUUAAUCAGUGUUAAUGUUCUAUAUUUAAAAUACAAUCUUCUUUAAAUUAUGACAUUUACAUAUUUUGUGUGUACCUGCAGGAUCAGCAUACAGUUGUGAUGGCAGAUAGUCUUCAUUUGGAAUGGCAGAUGGAUUGAAUGGAUAAAUACCAGUCACCCUGAACCCAUUUACAAGAUAAUCAGGUUUUAGACUGCUCCAUGACUUUGUGAAAAGCCGAAAAAAGUUGGCAUGAGUCACAGGACAUGCUGUCUCUGUUGUGAAGGAAGAACUGAUUUCUUGCCAUUUUUUUUCAAGGGUCCAAACACAGAUCUAAAAGUGAACAUGUCCAUGUAUAACCAAUAUAUAGAAUUCCAUUGAAUGCAUCCAUUAGCCAGUUAGUCUUAGGUCAUGUAUGUGUUACUUGAAAAAAAUAAUGACCAUAGUAGAAAACAAUAGUCAUGUAAAUAUUAACACCUGUCUAAAGGUUGCAGCCAAUGUGAGCAGUGAGCAGGCAUUUCCAUAAGAAUGAUCUGGUUUUCUCGUGCACUUUCAAUGAGUUCCACAUGAUGGUGGCUAUCAUGCCCAUCGAAAAUGAGAAUUUGGGGUCGUUCCUCGAACCAUAGGAGGGAUAUGCCCUUUAAGGAGAAAUGCUCUUGUUUAAACAAAGACGCAUUGAAAUGCCCCAAGCACUUUGUAUCUGAGGGAAAGCAAACAAUUUGUAAGGAAUGAUGAAAUGUAAUCUACAAUGUAUACCUGUUUUGUCCACCCAGAAUCAGACACGCUGAUAAAAGACCCAAAGGGGGCAUUUUCUGUGUCCCAGGAUUUAAGUGCUUGCUGCGUUUUGCCUUUUGUGAUGAAGUGAGGAGGCAUCAUUACACCUGCUGCAUUGCCACAUGCCAGAAUUGUGAUGUUCUCUCGAUUCCCAGAUUUCGAAUGAAUGUAUUUUGUGCCUGUUCUGGAUUAUGCAAAUUGAAAAAAAAGAUUUUUUUUAUCCAUUUUGUCAUAUUUUUACUCUCUAAGUGUCACAUUUUUAUCAUUUUGGCUUUUAUUAGAUAUUUUAUAAUUUCGUGGGUGUAGAUAUUUUAUAAUUUCAUGGGUUUUGAUAUUUUAUAAUUUCAUGGGUUUAGAUAUUUUAUAAUUUCAUUUCAAACACUUUGGUUUUAAAAUUAUACCAUUUAACUUUAAGAAUGGACAGGCAUGCAAUAUUAUGUGGCUUUGUGUUCCAGUUUGAAGUUGCUUUCUUUAGAAAGCAUUCUACGAAUUCAGCAGCAGAAAUACGAUAUACGAUGUACAUGUACCAACCCACACUAUAUUGACUUUCUCACCUCAAACUUUUGAGAGUGGAUUUUGGAAAUUUAUUUUUGUUGUAUGACGUGC
rnacentral:sRNA from 1 species